UGGAAACGUGGCCGAGUGGUCGAAGGCGCUCCCCUGCUAAGGGAGUAGGCGGGGAACCGUCUCGAGGGUUCAGAUCCUUCGUUUCCGCC
rnacentral:tRNA from 1 species